GGGCUUGUAGCUCAGUGGUAGAGCGCUCGCUUCGCAUGCGAGAGGUCGUGGGUUCAAUUCCCACCAAGUCCA
rnacentral:tRNA from 1 species